CAGUCGCCGGGUAAUACGUAGGGUGCGAGCGUUAAUCGGAAUUACUGGGCGUAAAGCGUGCGCAGGCGGUUUUGUAAGACAGGCGUGAAAUCCCCGGGCUCAACCUGGGAAUGGCGCUUGUGACUGCAAAGCUAGAGUGCGGCAGAGGGGGAUGGAAUUCCGCGUGUAGCAGUGAAAUGCGUAGAUAUGCGGAGGAACACCGAUGGCGAAGGCAGCCCCCUGGGCCAAUACUGACGCUCAUGCACGAAAGCGUGGGGAGCAAACAGGAUUAGAUACCCGCGUAGUCCCUGUCUCUUAUACA
rnacentral:rRNA from 1 species